rnacentral:rRNA from 1 species
UAAGGAAUUUUCGGCAAUGGAGGAAACUCUGACCGAGCAACGCCGCGUGAGCGAUGAAGGUCUUCGGAUCGUAAAGCUCUGUUGAAGGGGAUGAACAUAGUAGAUAGGAAAUGAUCUACUUCUGACAGUACCCCUCCAGAAAGUCACGGCUUACUACGUGCCAGCAGCCGCGGUAAUACGUAGGUGGCAAGCGUUAUCCGGAUUUAUUGGGCGUAAAGGGUGCGCAGGCGGCUUAUUAGGUUUAGGGUGAAAGCGUGGGGCUCAACCCCAUAUAGCCCUGAAAACCGAUAGGCUCGAGUACAGAAGAGGGAAGCGGAAUUCCAUGUGUAGCGGUAAAAUGCGUAGAUAUAUGGAGGAACACCGGUGGCGAAGGCGGCUUCCUGGUCUGUUACUGACGCUCAUGCACGAAAGCGUGGGGAGCAAAUAGG